rnacentral:rRNA from 1 species
UACGGAGGAUGCAAGCGUUAUCCGGAAUGAUUGGGCGUAAAGCGUCCGCAGGUGGCUAUGUAAGUCUGCUGUUAAAGAGCAAAGCUUAACUUUGUAAAAGCAGUGGAAACUACAUAGCUAGAGUGCGUUCGGGGCAGAGGGAAUUCCUGGUGUAGCGGUGAAAUGCGUAGAUAUCGAGAGGAACACCUGCGGCGAAGGCGGGUUGCUGGGCUGAUACUGACGCUGAGGCGCGAAAGCCAGGGGAGCGAACGGG